rnacentral:rRNA from 1 species
AGUGGCGGACGGGUGAGUAACGCGUAAGAAUCUAACUUCAGGACGGGGACAACAGUGGGAAACGACUGCUAAUACCCGAUGUGCCGCGAGGUGAAACCUAAUUGGCCUGAAGAAGAGCUUGCGUCUGAUUAGCUAGUUGGUGGGGUAAGAGCCUACCAAGGCGACGAUCAGUAGCUGGUCUGAGAGGAUGAGCAGCCACACUGGGACUGAGACACGGCCCAGACUCCUACGGGAGGCAGCAGUGGGGAAUUUUCCGCAAUGGGCGAAAGCCUGACGGAGCAACGCCGCGUGAGGGAGGAAGGUCUUUGGAUUGUAAACCUCUUUUCUCAAGGAAGAAGUUCUGACGGUACUUGAGGAAUCAGCCUCGGCUAACUCCGUGCCAGCAGCCGCGGUAAUACGGGGGAGGCAAGCGUUAUCCGGAAUUAUUGGGCGUAAAGCGUCCGCAGGUGGUCAGCCAAGUCUGCCGUCAAAUCAGGUUGCUUAACGACCUAAAGGCGGUGGAAACUGGCAGACUAGAGAGCAGUAGGGGUAGCAGGAAUUCCCAGUGUAGCGGUGAAAUGCGUAGAGAUUGGGAAGAACAUCGGUGGCGAAAGCGUGCUACUGGGCCGUAUCUGACACUCAGGGACGAAAGCUAGGGGAGCGAAAGGGAUUAGAUACCCCUGUAGUCCUAGCCGUAAACGAUGGAUACUAGGCGUGGCUU